GAACGGCAGCACAGAAAACUUGGUCCCUUGUGUGGAGUGGGGGACAGGUGAGUAAUGUCUGGGGAUCUGCCCGCUAGAGGGGGAUAACCCCUGUGAACGGUGGGUCUUACCGCAUAUCGUCUCACGAGCAAAGAGGGGGACCUUCGGGCCUCUCUCUAUCGCAUGAGCCCCCAUGGGAUUAUCUAUAAUGUGGGGUAACGGCUCUCCUAGGCGACAAUCCCUAUCUGGGCUGAGAGAAUGACCCCCCCCACUGGGACUGUGACACGGUCCCCACACCCCCGGGAGACGCCAGUGGGGAAUAUUGCACAAUGGGCGCAAGCCUGAUGCACCCAUGCGCCGUGUAUGAGAAAAGCCUUCUGGUUGUGAAGUACUUUUUCCGGGGAGGAAAGGGUGAAACUUAUUACACUUUUUCAUUGAGGUUUCCCCCACAAAAAACACCGCGUAACUCCCUGCCACAAGCAGCCGCGGGAAUACGCAGGGGGCAAACGUUAAUCGCAAUUAUUGGGCGUAAAGCGCACGCACGCGGGCUGUCUCGUCGGGAUGUGAAAUCCCCGCGCUUAACCUCGGAACUGUGUUCUAAACUGGGAGGCUAUAGUCUUGUAGAGGGGGGGUAGAAUUCCAGGUGUAGCGGUGAAAUGCGUAGAGAUCUGGAGGAAUACCGGUGGCGAAGGCGGCCCCCCUGGACAAAGACUGACGCUCAGGUGCGAAAGCGUGGGGAGCAAACAGGAUUAGAUACCCUGGUAGUCCCACGCCGUAAACGAUGUCGACUUGGAGGCUGUUCCCUUGAGGAGUGGCUUCCGGAGCUAACGCGUUAAGUCGACCGCCUGGGGAGUACGGCCGCAAGGUUAAAACUCAAAUGAAUUGACGGGGGCCCGCACAAGCGGUGGAGCAUGUGGUUUAAUUCGAUGCAACGCGAAGAACCUUACCUGGCCUUGACAUCCAGAGAACUUUCCAGAGAUGGAUUGGUGCCUUCGGGAACUCUGAGACAGGUGCUGCAUGGCUGUCGUCAGCUCGUGUUGUGAAAUGUUGGGUUAAGUCCCGCAACGAGCGCAACCCUUAUCCUUUGUUGCCAGCGAUUCGGUCGGGAACUCAAAGGAGACUGCCGGUGAUAAACCGGAGGAAGGUGGGGAUGACGUCAAGUCAUCAUGGCCCUUACGGCCAGGGCUACACACGUGCUACAAUGGCGCAUACAAAGAGAAGCGACCUCGCGAGAGCAAGCGGACCUCAUAAAGUGCGUCGUAGUCCGGAUCGGAGUCUGCAACUCGACUCCGUGAAGUCGGAAUCGCUAGUAAUCGUGGAUCAGAACGCCACGGUGAAUACGUUCCCGGGCCUUGUACACACCGCCCGUCACACCAUGGGAGUGGGUUGCAAAAGAAGUAGGUAGCUUAACCUUCGG
rnacentral:rRNA from 1 species